rnacentral:rRNA from 1 species
AGCAGCCGCGGUAAUUCCAGCUCCAAUAGCGUAUAUUAAAGUUGUUGCAGUUAAAAAGCUCGUAGUUGAAUUUCGAGAUCAGUACGCUGGUCGUGCCUUCGGUAUGUACUGGUGUCACUGGUUUCUCCCUUCUGAAGAACCGUUAUGUCAUUAAGUUGGUGUGGCGGGGAAUCAGGACUGUUACUUUGAAAAAAUUAGAGUGUUUAAAGCAGGCUCGCGCUUGAAUACAUUAGCAUGGAAUAAUGAAAUAGGACGUUUGACCCUAUUUUGUUGGUUUCUAGGAUCGACGUAAUGAUUAAUAGGGAUAGUUGGGGGCAUUAGUAUUCAAUUGUCAGAGGUGAAAUUCUUGGAUUUAUUGAAGACUAACUACUGCGAAAGCAUUUGCCAAGGAUGUUUUCUAUUAAUCAAGAACGAAAGUUAGGGGAUCGAAGACGAUCAGAUACCGUCGUAGUCUUAACCAUAAACUAUGCCGACUAGGGAUCGGGUGAUGUUAAUUUUUAAUUGACUUCAUUUCGGCGCC